AGGCCAUGAUGAGGGCAUUCUUGGAGUAGAUCCUUGAAUCUCUCAAUAAGUUUCGUAAAGGAUUCACUAGGCUUUUGCCUAAACUGAAUUCUAUCACUUCUAAGCUU